GACAGAGGUGCCGAGCGUUAGGCGGAAUCACUGGGCUUAAAGCGUGUGUAGGCGGAUCUGUAAGUACCUUGUGAAAUCCCACGGCUCAACCGUGGAACUGCUUGGUAUACUGCGGGUCUUGAGCCACCUAGGGGCAAGUGGAACAAACGGUGGAGCGGUGAAAUGCGUAGAUAUCGUUUGGAACGCCAAUGGUGAAAACAACUUGCUGGGGGUGUGCUGACGCUGGAGACACGAAAGCCAGGGGAGCAAACGGG
rnacentral:rRNA from 1 species